rnacentral:rRNA from 1 species
AGAGUUUGAUCAUGGCUCAGGAUGAACGCUAGCUACAGGCUUAACACAUGCAAGUCGAGGGGAAACGACAUCGAAAGCUUGCUUUUGAUGGGCGUCGACCGGCGCACGGGUGAGUGACGCGUAUCCAACCUGCCCACCACUUGGGGAUAACCUUGCGAAAGUAAGACUAAUACCCAAUGAUAUCUCUAGAAGACAUCUGAAAGAGAUUAAAGAUUUAUCGGUGAUGGAUGGGGAUGCGUCUGAUUAGCUUGUUGGCGGGGUAACGGCCCACCAAGGCAACGAUCAGUAGGGGUUCUGAGAGGAAGGUCCCCCACAUUGGAACUGAGACACGGUCCAAACUCCUACGGGAGGCAGCAGUGAGGAAUAUUGGUCAAUGGGCGAGAGCCUGAACCAGCCAAGUAGCGUGCAGGAAGACGGCCCUAUGGGUUGUAAACUGCUUUUAUAAGGGAAUAAAGUGAGUCUCGUGAGACUUUUUGCAUGUACCUUAUGAAUAAGGACCGGCUAAUUCCGUGCCAGCAGCCGCGGUAAUACGGAAGGUCCGGGCGUUAUCCGGAUUUAUUGGGUUUAAAGGGAGCGUAGGCCGGAGAUUAAGCGUGUUGUGAAAUGUAGACGCUAAACGUCUGCACUGCAGCGCGAACUGGUUUCCUUGAGUACGCACAAAGUGGGCGGAAUUCGUGGUGUAGCGGUGAAAUGCUUAGAUAUCACGAAGAACUCCGAUUGCGAAGGCAGCUCACUGGAGCGCAACUGACGCUGAAGCUCGAAAGUGCGGGUAUCGAACAGGAUUAGAUACCCUGGUAGUCCGCACGGUAAACGAUGGAUGCCCGCUGUUGGUCUGAACAGGUCAGCGGCCAAGCGAAAGCAUUAAGCAUCCCACCUGGGGAGUACGCCGGCAACGGUGAAACUCAAAGGAAUUGACGGGGGCCCGCACAAGCGGAGGAACAUGUGGUUUAAUUCGAUGAUACGCGAGGAACCUUACCCGGGCUUGAAUUGCAGAGGAAGGAUUUGGAGACAAUGACGCCCUUCGGGGUCUCUGUGAAGGUGCUGCAUGGUUGUCGUCAGCUCGUGCCGUGAGGUGUCGGCUUAAGUGCCAUAACGAGCGCAACCCCUCUCCUUAGUUGCCAUCAGGUUAAGCUGGGCACUCUGGGGACACUGCCACCGUAAGGUGUGAGGAAGGUGGGGAUGACGUCAAAUCAGCACGGCCCUUACGUCCGGGGCUACACACGUGUUACAAUGGCAGGUACAG